GCCCCGCACCCACGGCACUUCCCAGCCCUGCUCUCCCCUCCCCCUCCCCUCCCCACUCUCUCCCCCAAAUCGGAGAGCGGAGGAACCCACAGACCCAUCCAUCCAUCCGGAAAGUCGAGCGAGAUGGGCGCCGCGAGCAGCAGCUGCGCCGCCGGCCCGUCGUCUUCGUCGCCGCCGCCGCGUCGCCGGCCGCGGAUCGGCCUCGGCGGGUGCUUCGGGGCCGGAUCCUCCGCGCGCGACGGCGGGGGCCUCGCCGCCGCCGCCGCCGCGGCCGCCUCCUCCUCGCGCGCCCUCCAGGCAGCAACUCGGCAAGCAGAGCGAGCAGCGGCUGGGCUAGAUUUCCAGCCUUCCCUGUCUGCUAAGGAUCUUCGCCACACCAGCGAGCCAGACCCAAGAGUGCAUCCGUCUUCAAGCACCAUAAGUCACCGCCUCCGGUUCAACCACCUGGACUGUCACGAGAACAAGGAGCAUGCCCUGCGAAUUAAAGAUGCUGAAACGAGUGGUCUGGCGAGUUCAUCAGGAAAGGAUGCCGUGAUUAGGGGAAAUCUCAGUAAUGAAGCUGGCAAUGAUGAGAGAACAUCUGGGGAAGGGGUUAGUCCUAUGGCACAAGAGCUUGUAGAACCUGCACCUGAUAAUGUCCAUAUUGACGCAGUUUUCAUUACAGAAGUUAGUGGCUCCUUGUCCCAGUCUGAUUUCCACUCCUCGCUGAUGACAUCUGAAAGGAUCAUGCCUGGCUUGGAAGACGGCGAGACAGCUCUCCGCAGGACUUCAUCCAGAGAUGUUUUGUCAAGUGAAAGAUCAGAUGUUUCUCAAUCCAGCUUGACAUCUGUGUUGCCUGCUACUUCAAGCGCAUCAUCCAUCGUUGGUGAAUCAAUUCCAGAUGCAACUGCUAGCAGAGAAGAUGUUCCAACCAUAUUCAGUGUGUCUCAUGGUCAGAUUGGUGGCAGUACAGUGCAUGAAGACAUGGUUAGCAUUUUCUCAAAUGAUGGCCCAGAACACCCCCGAGAUUCCAGCAAUGGUGAAACAAGAAGAAAUCAUAGAAGAGUCCUAUGGGAUUCAUUUUCAAGACGUGGUUCUAGAGGUUAUCUAGAUUCAGACACUGAUGAUCUGGGAUUUUACAGUAGAUGGCUAGACCUUGGUGAUGAUCUUUUUGGUGAUGAGGUUGAGGAGGCACGAUACUUUCAUCGUAGACGCCAUGGUUCAAUCAGAGUAAACCAGUAUUCAAGAUCUCGGAUUAGGGAGCACCGUCGUGCUAUUUUUGAUAGUGGGAACGGACAAAGUACUGCUGCUUGUCCUUUGGGGAUCCACCAAAUUGGCAGAUGCACCUGUGAUGCAUUCUUGGUCGCUGAAGAAUCUAGUGCUCGCGCAAGUAUAUCAAGAAUUGUCAUGUUAACGGAGGCAUUAUUUGAGGUAUUGGAUGAGAUUCACCGGCAACCCUCAUCACUUUCACUUUCCAUGGCCUCUGCUCAAGCUCCAGAGGCUGUGGUUAAUUCAUUACCAUCAUCUAGAGACCCUGAAUCGUGUGGAUGAUCGCCGUUUGACACCCUUCUUCUUUUGGUCUUCACAAAUCUGUGCCAUAUCUGCUUAACUGAAUAUGAGGAUGGAGAUCAGAUAAGAAGUCUCCCAUGCAAACAUGAGUUUCACCUGCAGUGUGUCGACAAGUGGCUUAAAGAAAUACACAGGGUGUGCCCGUUGUGUCGUGGGGACGUCUGCGAAGGUGUUGCCUCUUGAAGACCUUGGGCACCGGCUCACCCCCUCAAGGCGCCUCUUGAAGAUGGUAGGGCCGGCACAUCUCUUGCAGCCAUGGACGAAGCUGUUUGGUUGGUCUGGAGAGGGCUGGUUACCCAUUGCUGAAGCAUGCGAUUUCAUGCAUUGAUUCGACAUGUCAAGUUCCCAGAAUAUAACAAUGACCUGUACAUAUCUUUUGUAGCCUUAUCCCAUGUAUGACAUCAUGUACAUAUGUGCGAAAAUUUGAUCCGAUUCCACCAUAUUCGAGAUCUAUAUGUAUCCCCCAUGUGACAAUGAUGAAUCCAAGUCAAUCUCUCCAUCAGGAGGAGACAUAUUUUUAAUGUAGUAUGAAUUGUGCCUUCACUACAUUAUAGCCA